GCAGCGCCCUCAACAAAGCGUCCCGCGGGCCCUGCUGCAUGACUCACCGCUGGCUGGGGCGGGCACGCAGGCAACCCGCGGGCCGAGACGGGGUAGCGAGGGCCGGAAGCCCGGCUCCCGACUCCGCAUCGCCCCCACAACCUCCGGCAGCCUGAAGUCCUGAGGGGCAGUGGCCCUGGGUCGUCUCCCUUGUUCCCAGCCUCCGGUCGCAGCUGGCGGAGAGAAGUUCCCGAGGCCCCCGCCCUUGCAGGGUCCCUUACCCUGCCCAGAGCUGAGCCUUCCGAGGAUUUGAGGACCGAGUCCAGCCCAGCUCCCAGGAGGGGCCGGGAUCCUGGGGCAGGGAAUGAGGGGCAGGGGCUGACUCCAGAGUCGGGCGGGGGAGGGGCAUUAACCGAGAUGGGGGCUGAGCCUCCGGUCUGGGAGCGUCAGGAGGCGCGUGGCGGGAUGGAAAACGUUCCUGAGACCGUUGGCCUGGAUUUCCGAAUUUGGGAGGCUAGGACUCCGGCUACGGUGGCUCUGCUCUUGGGAUGAGAGGACUGGGCCCAGCUUGCGAGGAGUCAUGAAGUGGACACAGGGUAGGAACGUGAAUUUUAAUGAGGGGGCAGACCAAGGAGGUGGUGGCUGCCCGGAGAUCAGGGCCAGGCUCUGCUAGAUGGCGCCUGGAAGGGGGGUCACCCAAGUCUCCCUGCUGUCAUUUCAGGAGGCCGACCCAAGUCUCCCUGCUGUCAUUUCAGGAGGCCGAAUUUUUUCCCGAUCCCAGAGAAGGUGUCAGAGGCCUGGUUAGCAGUCUUGUCGAUGGUUUCCUGGGUGGUCUUGGCCAGCUGGUCCAUGGCUGGGGAAGAGCGGGAGAGAGGGCAGGUCAGGCAGGUCCCCGGGAACCAGUGCACGUAGGCUUAGCCUGGCCUGGGUCUCCCGGGGGACCUGCCUGGGGCAUUGUGGACAGAGGGCUCUGCAGAGGAGAGGAUGUGCCUGGGCCCCAUCCGGGGUGGGGCGGGGAGUGGGAGGUGUGCUGGGGUUGCCCGCCUCCCUCCAGCCCCACCAGACCUUUCUGCCCCGCCUCUGUGGCCUGGUCCACCACUUGCUGAGCUGCUGCUCCGGCCGCUGACACUGGAACAGAGAGAUGUGGCUUUUAUCCCCUGUUGAGGCACCACCGACUACAGGUGCCCCACCAUUGCCAUGCCUCUUAUGUGUCCUCCAGAGUAUUCACUGGUACAGGUCCAAGGGAUGGAUGCCAUGGAGAUGAAGUCCCUGGCCCAGGGCCCUCCAGUCUGAGGGGCAGGAGACCUUUCCAUGCCUCUGGGAUGUUUUUGUUUAUUUCUAACUCUGUGCUCCUUCUCUGUGGGGGAGGAGCUUCCCUUUCCAUCUCCAGGGCUGCUGAGAAAAUGUUGGACAGAGGAAGGAAGGCAGGGCAGGGCCAGGCUGCGGCUAGCAUCUGGACUGUUGGCUAAUGCUGGGCAUGGCCCAGAAGACCCCUGCCCCCUUUUACAGCUUCUCCCCUAGAAGCCUGGCCCAGAUGCCUGAAUUCCCACCUUUCAUGCACUUGGCCCUGGGGGUUGGACUUUUGCCAGGUUCUCACUGCCUCCUCCCUCCUGUGGCCUGCCCGGGAGGGCACACCAGCAAAGCCAGUGCCUCUGUGGACAGGCAGCUUAAGACAUUAAAAGACAAGUGAAGGAAGGAGGCAAAACUUCCAAGGCCCAGACCAUCUCCUCUGGACCAGAGUUUCGGCCUGCUGGGAAUGGAGUCACCAGCCCCUGGUGGGCUGACAGGUGGCUCCCGCCUGAAGAGCUGUAACUCGUCCCUGCUGCUGAACAGGAAAGGGCCUGCCUUACCCAGACCCCAUCCUCCGGAAAGGGUUAGUCAGGCAAGUGUGGUGAGAGGCCCCUGGGAACCUCGUCUCAACCCAUCAGAACGCAGCCCAUCCUUUGCACCCAGCUCUCAGAUGGAAAAGUGAAGCCCAGAAGGAAGGGACUUGACACGGAGGCUUCCUUGGUAGCAUUUCAGUCUCAAGGGAAGAACUGUGGGCCUCCCCUGGAGCACUGGUGAAGGAAGGGGUUGGUUUGGAUAUUGUCUCCUGACUGGGAUAUGGGCAGGACUGACAGGGAGCUGGAGUCCUAACGAAGCCUGGGCUAGGUGCAGGAAGAACCAACCCAGUGACCCAGUGGUCUUCUCACAUCUCCCAUGCCCCCACCGCAGCUGGGUCACCUCCGGAAUAAGGAGGAGAGAGCUGGAGGUGGAGGAACUAAGGACCUUCUUUGCCAGGUGGGGACUUAAAGGUAAGGCGACGAUUACUUUUUGCCGAUGGAGGUGGGUUGGAAACAAAGCCCUUUGGGGUCUGGGGCAGCCUCUGGUGGCGCGCGCGGGUUUAAGUGGUGGCGGGCCGCGCCCGGUCCCGGUCUUGGACCUUCACCCUUCUCCUGAGGGCGUGGGCGGGCCGCCCAGCGCCGGCAUGGCCUCCUCGGAGGGGCUCCCGCAGUGUCCGCAGCGCAGCUCCGGCUCCUCCAGAGCCUCUGUUCCGCUGCCUCCCUCCGGGCACCAUCCCUGCUCGCCGGGGUGGGCGUUCUACCUGCCCCUGCGUGUCAGUGGAGGACCGAGCCUUCCGAGCCAAGCUGCCGGUGCAGGAACUUGCGGACCGCGCAGACCCGCCGCUUCUGCCUGCGCAUCCACGCAGGUGCCCCUGCCUGGGCCCUAGGUCGCGCGCUAUCCUCACCGGCUUCCUUGGCGGUCCCCUCCACCUGUUGCUUCAGGUCCUGCAAGCCCUUGCUGGCCAUGGCUUCGGGGUAUCUGUGGAGUCGUUAAGAGCAGCCAGAGCGAUGUUGGAUCCUGCCCAGAGUAGUGAUGCCAAGCGCCAGCUCCGGUUUUUAAGGCGCUCCAGGGCUGGCCUGCCCCGCGUAGGGGAGAGGGCGCCGGGCGGUUCCCGUCAUACAGGCUCCGGGGGAGUGGCCGGGCCCUGCUCCAGAGUCCGCAGGGCAGGGAGCACAUCCUGUCCUAAGACGGGCCGCGGUGGGAAAAAGGCAGACCGAACCAGGGACCGAAGAGGUGCUAGGACAGGAGUCCAGAGAGGAGCUGGAGGCAGGAGAAGGGCGCACACCACCUCCCAGCUCAUCAACCCCAGCCCUCCCUUUCUGAUCCUGGGCGUGAGCGCAGGGUCAGCUCCAGGGCAGGAGCUCAGGGCUGGUGUUGACAUUAAUGACAGCAGCGGUCUUUUACUGAGCAUUUGUCUUGUGCCAGGUGCUGCCUAACGCUCUGCAGUCUCUUGUAUAAUCUUUACAACCACCUUCUGAAGUGGGUAUUUUUGUUAAUAGCAUCAGUGUAUAGGAGGAAACUGAGGCAGCGAGGUCGGUCUCACCCAAACUCAUGUGGCAGGGACUUGGAUCCUCGAAUCUGCCUAGGUGCCUGUAAACCCUAGGGCUCUGGCAUCGUCGGAGCCCCCAGCCCCAAACACCUGCAGGGGCACUGCUGAUUGGCUCUCUGCCUGUAGCCAGAGACCCAGUGGAUGCAGACGGAGAGGGCCUGGUAAAUCCUUCCCCUGAGAGGGCAAGAUAUAGCAUACAGUGAAGUUGUUCUCUGAAGUCUCUCAUCUGCCUAAAGUCUGGACCCACCAAAGAAGAAAACAAUGACCCCUGGUCCCUUCCCGGAGUUUUCUCUGACUGAACUCAUGUCACAGGAAGAAAGACUGAAGCCUGCUGACACACCUGGACAGAUUUUGCAAACCGUUGUCUGCUCUGUGAGCCCAACAGACUUUGUCCCAGGCCACUGUAUGUUCUUCAAGCCUACUGAAUUCCCCUGAAAUUACCCACACUUCCCCUUUGCUCAUCUGUACCCCAUUUCAUGGUGGGGCAGUCACUCUGUUUUCCCCUUGCAUGCUAAUGAAUGUGUAUUCCAUUUC
rnacentral:antisense_RNA from 1 species